rnacentral:lncRNA from 1 species
CGUUAUCUCCGAUUUCCAAAAAUAUUCAUUAAGGAAAAAAAGAAAGAAAAGGAAAAGAACAAGUAGAAACUAAAAAAAAAAAGGAGUCUGGCAACCCUCUUGUAAAAAUUUCUUCCAUUUCAUAUUAUAGAGCCUAUUUUACACUUGUUCGUGAAAUUUGGCGAUAAUAAAAAAUUUUCAACCUGAAAAAGUUUCCAUUUUACCCUUCUACUUGAAAACCCCC